rnacentral:lncRNA from 1 species
UGGCCACCACUCAGGGCACCCGCCUAAUCCGCUCAGCGCGCCCUACCGCCAGCCCGCUGCCGGAUCUCGAGCUGCGCCACUCGCCCGCCGCGCCCCAGCCGCCAGCACGCUGACCAACUUCCGUCGCGCUCCCAAUGCCCAAGCGGCACCUGUUCCUCGAUCCCUUUUUCCGAAUCGAAACAUGUCGGCUUGUCGCCUUGUCGGGUGCAUUCUUGAUAUACGGGUAUUUUUUGUCUUUUUCUUUUUUUCCAAUAUUUUUUCUAUACCAAGGUUUAUUUUCAACUCCUCGUUCGUUUAGGCACAGAAUCUCGGAAUCAAAUUAAGUUAGUACAGAUUAGCACAACAUUCCAAAGGGGGUGUUUAUUGUUAUACCUUUUUUUCAAAAAAAAUGGGUCGGUCCAUCAUUUUGUAAAAUUAACUAAACACCAUGCAAAUUUUUUUUCCAAAAAGUUGGUUAUUCUCCAUUAUAGAUUUUGGCCUCAAGAGGCCAAAAAAAACCAGAAAGAGCCUCAAGAGGCUCUUAUGAGGAUAAUAAAUUCUGCAUUGUGGAUGGAACUAAACAUAUGUCCCUAAAAAUUUUGGCAUUUUGCAUUUCACCAAACUAAAAUAGUUGGCAUUUUGUAUUUUUUUGAACUAAACACCCCCUUAGAAUUGUUCCCAGCGUCCAUUACCUGAUGAACAAGCUCACGGUAUUGAGAAACGGGGUAGACUAUAGCUUAGGUUUGAAAACAAGGACAAACAUAUAAAGUUAUUAAAAAAAUAGGGGUAAACAUGCAGUUAGAAUUGAAAAGAAGGACAGUA